GGCCACAAGGACGACAGACUGGGGGAGGGCAGGGGGUGAAGGGGGAGCCCACCUCCCACCCGGUCUCCCUGAUGUCAGCUCUGGUCCGAGUGGCUAACACAUCUAGGUCAGAGAGGGUGUGAGGGUGGGAGGGACAGAAAGGGAGGACCCCCCCCCCCCGAGUGAUGGCUCCUCUGGCCUCGAAGGAAGAUUGCAGGGUUCUCAGUCAGACUGCUUAACCUCCCUCCUUAGCGUCCCCCACCCCCACCCCCGCAGGCUGUGUGACCUCAUACAAGUCACUAAACCUCUCUGUGGCUGUCUCCUCUUCUGGAAAGCGGGGACAACAAUACCAGCCUCCCGCAGUGGGAUGCGGAUGAGAAUAAACACACACCUGGAAACGUUCUAUGAGCCACAGGGUGUCCCGUGCAGUGGGGUGACGAUGAUCAGGAGGGUCUACUGAGAAGAGGGCAUGAUGCAGAAGGUUCCGGAGCUGGGUGCUGAGAGGAUACGCUCCACAGCCGCCCGAGCUGCCCUCCGUCACCCAGAACCCUGCGUUGUCAGUGCUGGUUUAUCUGUCCUCCCCACACCCACACACCUGACCAGAUGCUCCUCCAGCACAGGGGUCCUGUCUGACACCUGUCUGUGUCCCCAGCACCCAGCUCACAGACCGGCUCAGCGCAGGGGCGCGGGGGGGAGGCUGGGGGCGGUGAAGACUUGCAGAGGUCACGGCUGUCACGCCCCUGCAGGCUGUCAUGAGGGGGAGGGGAGCCCGGUCCUGCAGGUGCCCUGGGAUGACUCUAGGGCACAGACUGGAGGCUAGAAGAGGAAGGGGGAUGCUGCCUCAGGUGGAGAGAGUGCCGCGUCCCCAGAGCUGAGCAAGCAGAGCUGUGGACGGGAAGGACCGGAUUAGGAGGGCCGGCCAUCCCUGCCCGCAGUGGCUCUCGAUGUCACACUGGUGUCCAAAAGGGAGAUCUUUGUGUCCUCGCCACACCUCUCCCCGAACCUAGAACCGUCCGCCCGGAUGCCCGACAGAAAAGCCUGGGACACAUUUCCCCAUAGCCCGCUGUGUCCAGUCUGUGACCGAGUCCUGCUGGCUGUUUCUGCCGAACGGGUCUCAGGUCCCCCCCGUCGCUCACCGGCCUGGCCCAGGCAGUCCUGGGUCCCCUCCUGACUGCUGUCGCUGCUCCCAUCCUACCACCUGCUUUCCAUCCUCCACACGGCGACCACAGUAUCCUUUUAAACCACGUCGGCGAGGCCACCUGGUCCUGUGUUCACGGUCUCCAAUGGCUUCCGGUCGCGCUCAGAAUAGAGUCAGCAGCAUUACCUUGAACCACAGGCUUUUCCCCAUCUGGACCUCUUUGCCCAUGAUGCUGGAGUCCUACAGAUCUCUCAGCCUCUCAAGCCGGGCGGCCCUUCAUCUCUCUGACGGGCCCAUCUCAGAGGACGACCCCGGGAAACCCAGUGCCUUUCAACUGUACCGCCGGCCCCUUCAGCUCCUGGGAUUUCAAUGUCACCUGGAUGAAGGGCAGCGAUGAGCAUCCAGCUUCAGCCCAGCACCUGGUGACCAACAACCAAGGCAACUACUUCGUUACCAGUAAGGUGUGGGUGACACUGACCCUCCAGGAUCUCUUACUGGAGAUCACCUGUGAAGUCACCCACAGGGCGCUGGGAGAGCCUCUGCGAAAGACCAUGAACCUCUCCCAAGUGCUCCAAGUUGUCCCCACCCUGAAGAUCACCACCAAGACCUCCGGGACGUACAUCCACGUGCAACAGAGAGUGAAUCUCACCUGCCACGCGAGCCACUUCUACCCCUCCCACCUACGUCUCACCUGGAUGGAGAACAGACACCAGGUCCACACGGUGGAGUCCCCACAGGUCACGAGAAACCCAGAUGGCACCUACUCUCUGAAGCACACGUGGCAGGCGGAGGCCACGCUGGACGGGAGCGAGUUUGCUUGCUGGGUGGUCCAGGAUGAGCAGCCACCCGUCCGGGCCAACAUCACCCUGCGGGCCCAGGCACCCAGGCUGGGGAAAGGCAGGAGCACCUACUCCUACUCCUUGCAAGGCCCCCUUCAGCGAUCUGAGCCGGGGAAGAGCAUCCAGCUGACCUACGUGUCCUCCGGAUUCCUGUCGCGCCACAUUACCGUGACCUGGUUUAAAAAGAACCACGAGCUCCCAAAGACGCAGACCUACGUCCACCCCAGUGGGGACACACACAAUGUGACCAGCCGAGUGCUCGUCCCGCUGCAAGCGGACGAUGUGCUCUCCUUCGUCCAAUGCCACGUCAGUCAUAAAUCCACACUGGUCUUCCAGAAAGCCAUCAACCUGGACCAGUACCUCCGUGUUCCCCCUACAGUGACAGUGUCCCAGUCUUCACGCUCCUCGGACUUGGUGGCUGUCACCUGCCGCGUGCAGAGAUUCUAUCCACAGAGUGUGCAUCUCACCUGGACGGAGAACUGCCACACGAUCGAGGGAGCUGAGCAACGCACAUCCAAGCAGAAUAGCGAUGGGACCUACACCCUGGAAAGCUUGCAUUUGGUGAACGUGUCAGGGCCGGGGUCCGAACAGGUGCUCACCUGUAAGGUGCAGCACGAGACCCAACAUCCCAUCCAGGCCAGCCUCAUACUGUCUGCGGAAGCACAUGGCACAUACAAGCCCAUCGGAAGCUCAGGUCCCGAGAUACCUGUCCUCAUCUUUGUGGCAUUCCUUCUGGGCUUCAAGGUGCUGCUGGCGAUGAGUUUCAUAGUCACCUACAUCUGCAGGUGGCGGAGCCGGUAACAGGCUGAAACGUCAGAGAGAAGUGAUUGCCAUCCGGACCUGACGGUCCACAAGCAUAAAGCAUUUACUGUCCGGCCAUCUAAGACAAAGCUCGCCAACACCUGAGAGACAAUAUUUAAAGACAAACAAUCCCAUUUUAUAAGUGCAUGAAAGAUUUGA